UAGUGCGCGUGCGCAGUAUGUUUCCGCUGAUUUCCGGGCGGUGGUUUUGGAAGCCGAGAGAGGCGAAAGCUAGCAGGAGGCAGAAGAAAGGAAGAGCUUUCCUGAAGGUGGGGUACCUGCAGCCCAUUCCUUGUCAUCUGAUAUCACUGGAUCAUCUUUUACAUGAUAUAAAGGAUGAUAAGGGACUCUGCCCUCUCCACAGAUCCUGGGGGAGCGCUUGUCUGGGGUGAAGAAGGAACAGGUCCAGCUGCUGUGACUGAGGCCAAAGCCCGAGCCCCCUACAGGUGGCAGUGUCCUGGAGAGAAGUAGCAGGUCUUUGCCUCAGGGACCAAAGCACCUGAAGCCAGGAGAGGCACAGAAACCAUAGGCGAUCUUAGGCUGAAUGGUCUUUAUAUGUCAUGGUGGCAAGAACAGUUUUGUUUGCUGUUGGAUUCCAGCAACCAUUCGUGUCUGGCACCCAGUUGAAUAUCAGCAUGUGUGUUGUUUCCGUGUCUGAGAGGAAGCACUGCUCUAAGAUCCGAUUAGGAGACAGCCAAGCUGGGGCUGCCUAUGAGAUGUUAGCUUCUAGACUCCAAAGGUAGUUUUCACCGGAAUGCAAAAGGAUAACUUAUUUGGAAACUUUUAAUAUUGUAUUCCUCUGUUUUCAUAACGCUGGUCUUAUAGUAGGGAAAAACCAUGGAUGCCAUUUUAACCAAAAUAGAAAAAAAAAACAGAGUGUUUCCUACUUGUGACGUCUCUUAAGUUGUCUCCAGCCAUGCUGAGGAUCUUUGAUGAGUAACUUUAAUGGUGUUAUCAUUAGCUUGGAAUGCCAUGUAACAACCAAUGUACCAACUUAAGUAGGAAAAAAACCAAAACCAAACAAUGACUGCUUAUGAUACAAAAGAAAUGUGGGGUAAUAGCAAACACACCCCAGAUAGUUUAAGCAAAUUUCCUGAAAGUUAGCCAAUAGAAAUUUGGAACAUUGUCUAAGUAACACAUUAGAUUCUGUAAAAGUGAUAUUUGAUUUGAUUUGUUUAUAAUAUAAAGUCUUGUAUUAGUAGACACAUCGAUUAAUAAAAUAAAGUAUA